rnacentral:rRNA from 1 species
AGUGAACGCUGGCGGUAGGCCUAACACAUGCAAGUCGAACGGCAGCACAGUAAGAGCUUGCUCUUACGGGUGGCGAGUGGCGGACGGGUGAGGAAUACAUCGGAAUCUACUUUUUCGUGGGGGAUAACGUAGGGAAACUUACGCUAAUACCGCAUACGACCUACGGGUGAAAGCAGGGGAUCUUCGGACCUUGCGCGAUUGAAUGAGCCGAUGUCGGAUUAGCUAGUUGGCGGGGUAAAGGCCCACCAAGGCGACGAUCCGUAGCUGGUCUGAGAGGAUGAUCCGGCACCCCGGAACUUGGACACGGGCCAGACUCCCACGGGAGGCAGCAGGUGGGAAUUUUUGGCAAUGGGGGAAAACCUGACGCAGCCAAGCCGCGUGGGUGAAGAAGGUCUUCGGGUUGUAAAACCCUUUUUUUUGGGAAAAAAAAACGGGUGUUUAACUCCCCCCUUUUUGACGGUACCCAAAAAAAAAGCCACGGCUAACUUCGUG